UAGGUACUUUUCUACGCCAAUCAAUUGACGUUUAAUGCUUCGGUCAUCGAUGAUGGCUGCAAAACUACGAUCCGUGUUAAGUACGUAUAGGUAUAAAUUAAAAGACUGAUUUUAAAUUAAAUAAAGUUAGUAUCAAUUUUACUUGAUUAUAUCGUGAAAAGCGGCAACGUCAAAUUUAAAGUUCUACCAAAUUUUUUGUGUUAUAAUUGGGAUUUUUUAUAAUAUUUCUAAUCAGAAUCACGAGCUUUUGACAUUACCAAGAAAUAAAUGUUCCCAAAUCUUAUAUUCCGUUUUGUUGCGUUUUAAAUACAACAUUCCAUGACCGUAACAAAACGGACAAAAAAAUUACUUAUGAAUUUUUCUCUUAUUAGGAGAGCUCGUGGCUUCUUCCUAAAAUCUUAAAUGCAAGUAAGGAUUACAAUUUUAACUAGAAAUGGCCAUUUGUAAUGCAAGCCGUUUAGACCCAUGUCGAAUUGUCGAACUUUAAAUCAUGACAGUUCAGUCACGACAUCGACACCGUAAAACAACAAUAUAAUAGUGGCCAUAAAGGUGACGUUCUGAUGUCAACUGCAACUCCAUUACUGUUGUUGCAUCGUUGUUGUCGCCUUACCUAUUAAUUUCUUUGAUUAUCAGUGAUGGAAUGAACGUUAUUGUCGUAAUCUUUAUCGCGGCAGUAAUGUUGCGGCAAAUAGUUAUUUUAUUAAGGAAAUUGACAGACACAGUAGCACGGUACAUGAAUUUGUGAGUCACAAACACAUAGUUUUUAAAUUUUCUUAGUUGUUUUGUUGUUUAUAUUAUACAUUGCCUUUGUCCAAUUUCAGUCAAAUUCACCAUAUCCAAAAAAGGCAAGCGUCUACUGGUAUAUGACGGGUUCACCUACUACGCCAAAUCAUUUUUGAGCGGCAACUUGCGUUGGUGUUGCUCCACACAUAUUUCUCGAGGGUGCUACGCGGUUGUUUAUACUUUUGAGGAUGUAAUAGGUAGUGAGGACGAAAGGAACUCAUAAUCAUGGUUCACCUGGAGGAUAUUCAUAAAAAGAUGUAUUUUGUAGUUUGUUUGUAGAAUUUAUAUCCAUGAGUGAAAAUGGAAUAAGGUGAUUUUAUUUUUCGCCGACCGCCAUCAAUUUAAAAAAUAAUAUGUAUGGCGCUGCGUUGAGCGUGAACGCUUUGAGCGAGUGUUUCAUAGUGAAAGCGUUUAUGUUUUUUAGUAAUGUCGCUUGAGAUAUGUUAUUUCUUCCUCUUCUUACCUCGAUUCUAAGUAAAGUAUUUGUUUUCAGCCCAAUUUACUGUAUCGCGAAAAGGCAAGAGAUUGCUUAUGUAUGACGGGUAUACCUACUAUGCAAAAUCAGGGUUCAAUGAUGGAAAGGUGCAGUGGGUCUGUUCAACCCACUGGCCUCGCGGUUGCCGUGCUGCUGUUCAGACCUUUGAAGAUGUAAUAUUUUUGACGAAAGGAACUCACAAUCAUGUUGCAACUGAAAGCUACGUUCAGAAAUUGAAUAAAAUUGUUAAUUACUAUUUUUGUGUGAUCAAUGGAACUCUUAGGCCCAAAAGUAGUUUAUAUUGUAACUAUUUAACCCUAUUCGUGGCGAUGUACCUUAUAAGAUACAUAUGUAAUUUUACGCCCUCUUUUUGUAUUUUUCAAAGAUCUUUUUAUUACUAAGAUUCCGCUGUCCGUCCAUCCGUCCGUCCAUCCGUCCGUCCGUCCGUCCGUCCGUCUGUCACCAGGCUGUAUCUCAUGAACCGUGAUAGCUAGACAGUUGAAAUUUUCACAGAUGAUGUAUUUCUGUUGCCGCUAUAACAACAAAUACUAAAAAGCACGGAACCCUGGGUGGGCGAGUCCGACUCGCACUUGUCCGGUUUUUUUUUAUUCUAUUAGGCACAAUCGACUCAAGACUCAAGUAUUUUUUAUUUAUUUAGCAAGUAAAAUGUUGAAGCUCCAGAUUAAAAAAAUACGUUCUUCAACCUGUAGGCCUCUUUAAAGUCUUAAAAAUUCUUCAUAAGAAAAAAUACAAUGAUGAUAUGUAUUAAAACCCUUUAAUACAUAUACAUAUCAUCAUUCAUUAUUUAAACUCGUAUCUGUAACCAUUUUCUGUUCUGGCUAAAAUUACUUGGUUGAUGAGUUUAUCGUGUAAUAUCUACGAGUGUCCUAUAAAGGGAUAUCAGCAUUAUAUAAAAUACUGGAAAACUCAUCAACCAAGUAAUUUUAGCCAGAACAGAAAAUGGUUACAGACACGAGUUUCUGUCCUCUUUCGAUUCUCUCAGAUUCUAAGUAAAGUGUUUGCUUUCAGCCCAAUUUACUGUAUCCCAGAGAGGAAAGCGGUUGCUUAUGUAUGACGGAUAUACCUACUUCGCAAAAUCAGAGUUCAGCGGAAAGGUGCGAUGGGUCUGUUCGACCCACUGGUCACGCGGUUGCCGCGCUACUGUUCAUACCGUUGAAGAUGUAAUAAUUUCGACAAGAGGAUUUCACAAUCAUGUUGCAACUGGAAGUUAUGCUCAGAAAUUGAAUAAAGUUGUCAAUUACUAUUUUUCUGUGAUUAAUGGAAAACUUAACCCCAAAAUCUUCUUCACAAAAUCAUUACGCGGCAAUCGUCUCCUAGUACGAGAUGGAUUUACCUACUACGCGAAAUCAGGGUUCGGAGGGAAGGUGCGGUGGGUCUGUUCGACCAACUGGUCACGUGGGUGCCGCGCUUCUAUCUAUACUUACGAAGAUGUUAUAAUUUCGGUGAAAGAAAUUCAUAAUCACACUGCUAAAGUUCUAUGUGAAUGAGAAAAAAACCUUAGUAAAAAUAAAAAAUUAAAACUUAAAUUCAUUGCUCAGCUUCUAUCAUACCGCUAUAACCGUGAUCUUAUAGGUCAGGAUUACGUCGAACGUAUAUAUACUGUCCCUUGUUACAUUUAAUACCCCCCGGUUCAGGUCCCGUUCUCCAGAGAAACUGUUGCUCUGUAAGUGUAUAGAAAUAAUACUUAAUUUUACAAUCCUAAUGUAAGUAAGAAUGUGCCGUCAGUACAACAUGGCAUAGAUUUGCGAUCUUUCGAAAACAGGUUAUGGAAGUUCUUUGCCAGCGAUCACCUAAAUGCGAAUAAUGUUUUAUGUCUAAGAUUGUUUUAUUGUGUAAUUAAGUGUAGCCUUAGUAUAGUUGUAGUUAUCGCUCCUUUGGAGACAUUAAAAUGUUUAGAUAUUA